GCUCGCGCACGCGCCCGGCCCGCCUCCCUCCCGAGCCCGCCGCCGGGACCCCGUCGCCCAGGGGUCCGGAAGGAGUGUCCCCGCCGAUUUUUAAAAAUUACUUAGGAGCCACCGCGCUCCGCUCUGGGGCCGGCCACGGGUCUUCGGACAGAGCGGCCCCUGUUACUGCCGGUGCCCUGCGGGGCCUUUGGCUGCUCCUCUGCGCGGAGCUCCGCUUCGCACUUGCCGGUGCUUUUCCCCGGCAGCCAUGCACGCCGACCCGGGUUCGCCCGGGCAGCACGGAGCCCGGGAGCCUAGGAGCCUGGAGCCCUGCGCGGUGGGCGUGGGGCCCGGCGUAGUGAUGUCUGCGCGCGGUGCAGAUAGGGACGUCGAGUCGAGAGCGACCGAGUAGCUUCGAGUGGCUGGGGCGGUAUCCAGGGGCGCACAACCAGUGAUUUCUAAUCUGAAACCAGUGGUUUCCAACCUGUUCAGCCAAGAAACUCUGAGACGUGAAAUCGCGUUGCAGCUUCGUGGGUACAAACAGAGGCCCUGGGUCCACAGAUGAGUGUUUGGUUCCAACCCAGCUUCCCGCGCGCACUGGCUGGGGGGCCGGGGACCAGGACUCCACCUCUCCAGCCGCGCAGAGCCCCCGCCUGCCAAACGGAGGUAGCGCACCGUCUCCGCGGGUGAGUGAAGGCGAGGACCAAGGUCUGGGAACUCUUUCCUCCAGAGACUGCGAGAUAUAAAAUAAUCAGAACGGCCAGCCACCUACCUCCCAAGAGGAUUAACAGUGAGGGGCCUGGCCGGUGUGGCUCGGUUGAGUGACGUCCCAUGAAUCAAAAGGUCACCAGUUU